rnacentral:rRNA from 1 species
CAGUUUGCAGGUGCCUAUGUUAUCGAGCAGGUGACGCAACCAAGCUCAAGGAGGAGCUCGAUGAAGAUCUUGCCCUUUGUGUUGUUUCGUUCUAGUUGAUCAGUAGUGGAGCCUAGUUGGGGUCGAUCAGGGACCUUUGUCGCAUUUGGGGUUCUUCUUUUAUUUUGGUUCCGUAGUCGGACCUUGAUUGUAUCUGGAUGAUGUAAUGCUUUAUUCAUGUAAUUGUGUGAAGUGGC